UGGGGUGUGACUCAGUGGUAGAGCAUUUGCCUAACACAGGUGAGACCCUGGGUUCAAUCCUCAGCACCUCAU
rnacentral:tRNA from 1 species